GUGGUUGGAGGGAGGACUGGACUCUGAUGAGGGGUGUUGCGAGGAGGAAUAAGGAAUUGUGGAGGAAGAUGAGAAGCUGCCAGAGGGUAAUUGGUUUUCCCAGAAGUUCUUAAAUUUGGGAGCUGUCUUGCCGCAAGCCAUUGAGACUGGAAAUUCUUGGAGUUGGUAUUGUUUUUGUAAAUUGACUAAUAGAGAGUUAGGGAAGCCUGGAGACUUGUUGGGGGAAGAGACCUGGGAAAUUAAGUUUCUUGCGGAGUACGGUGGGGAUUGCAGCUGCUGAGCAGGGAUUCUGGAAAGCAUUGAGUACCUGAGCCCCCAGCAUGGCGGGCCUAAAGCGGCGGGCAAGCCAGGUGUGGCCAGAAGAGCAUGGUGCUGCAGCUGCUGCGCAUCAUCACUCGCCACGACCUGCUGCCCUACGUCACCCUCAAGAGGAGACGGGCUGGUGAGUGUGCCCUGAUCUUGUAGACAAGUAUCUGGAGGAGACAUCAAUUCGCUAUGUGACCCCCAGAGCCCUCAGUGAUCCAGAACCAAGGCCUCCCCAGCCCUCUAAAACAGUGCCUCCCCACUAUCCUGUGGUGUGUUGCCCCACUUCGGGUCCUCAGAUGUGUAGCAAGCGGCCAGCCCGAGGGAGAGCCACACUUGGGAGCCAGCGAAAACGCCGGAAGUCAGUGACACCAGAUCCCAAGGAAAAGCAGACAUGUGACAUCAGACUGCGGGUUCGGGCUGAAUACUGCCAGCAUGAGACUGCUCUGCAGGGCAAUGUCUUCUCUAACAAGCAGGACCCACUUGAGCGCCAGUUUGAGCGCUUUAACCAGGCCAACACCAUCCUCAAGUCCCGGGACCUGGGCUCCAUCAUCUGUGACAUCAAGUUCUCU
rnacentral:sRNA from 1 species